UCCCAGACUCCUACGGGAGGCAGCAGUGAGGGAUAUUGGUCAAUGGGGGGAACCUUGAACCAGCAACGCCGCGUGAGGGAAGACGGUUUUCGGAUUGUAAACCUCUGUCCUCUGUGAAGAUAAUGACGGUAGCAGAGGAGGAAGCUCCGGCUAACUACGUGCCAGCAGCCGCGGUAAUACGUAGGGGGCAAGCGUUGUUCGGAAUGACUGGGCGUAAAGGGUGUGUAGGCGGUGUAGCAAGUUAGAAGUGAAAUACCUAGAGCUUAACUCAGGUGCUGCUUCUAAAACUGCUAUACUUGAGUGCAGUAGAGGAAAGUGGAAUUCCUAGUGUAGCGGUGGAAUGCGUAGAUAUUAGGAGGAACAUCAGUGGCGAAGGCGACUUUCUGGACUGUAACUGACGCUGAGGCACGAAAGUGUGGGGAGCAAACAGGAUUAGAUACCCCGGUA
rnacentral:rRNA from 1 species